CUCACCAUCAUGUCACCAUAAUAUUAUGUAAAAAAGAGUGAGGCGUCGCCCAUACCAUCAUACAUCGCUAUUUUAAAAUUGUACCUCGUUUUAUUGUCUACAGUUUGAGUGAUAAAUGAAAGUGUGUGACAUUACUGGAAUAUCCAAUAUCGAUUAAUAAGAGUACUGCUCACACUUCCUUUGUUCUCGUCUUCUCUACGUUGAAAUAUCUUGCGGUUUAUAAAGGAAUAUUACAUAAAGAUUGGUUACUGUACUUCAUGCAGCAUUGGUUGCAGCAGUCCUUUUUCACUUGAAAAUGUAUUGGUACCUGAAUGACAAACUGAAGUGCAACUUUUCCUCUAAAAAGGGAGACAGUAUGUUGUGGUUGCUAAAGGAAGGAUUUAUGAUAACGAUUCAGUAAGUAAGAACAUUAAUUAAAGAUGUUAGAUGUGAGUUUUUUAUCAAAUUAUCCCAGAAAUCUAAUUUAUUAUCAGACGUCAUAAAUGUUACUUUAAAAAUGUCAAAGUGAGAACAACAAUAAUUAGAAUCUUAGAGUAGUAUGAAGUUAGAAUAAAAUAAGUGAUAAAGCA